GUGAACGCUGGCGGUAGGCCUAACACAUGCCAGUCGAACGGCAGCACAGUAAGAGCUUGCUCUUACGGGUGGCGAGUGGCGGACGGGUGAGGAAUACAUCGGAAUCUACUUUUUCGUGGGGGAUAACGUAGGGAAACUUACGCUAAUACCGCAUACGACCUACGGGUGAAAGCAGGGGAUCUUCGGACCUUGCGCGAUUGAAUGAGCCGAUGUCGGAUUAGCUAGUUGGCGGGGUAAAGGCCCACCAAGGCGACGAUCCGUAGCUGGUCUGAGAGGAUGAUCAGCCACACUGGAACUGAGACACGGUCCAGACUCCUACGGGAGGCCGCAGUGGGGAAUAUUGGACAAUGGGCGCAAGCCUGAUCCAGCCAUACCGCGUGGGUGAAGAAGGCCUUCGGGUUGUAAAGCCCUUUUGUUGGGAAAGAAAAGCAGCAGGUUAAUACCCCGCUGUUCUGACGGUACCCAAAGAAUAAGCACCGGCUAACUUCGUG
rnacentral:rRNA from 1 species